rnacentral:tRNA from 1 species
AAGAUACUAGUAAAAANGACAUUACACUGCUUUGUCAAGGCAAANUCGUAGGUUAAAGUCCUGCGUAUCUUA